UACGUAGGGACCAAGCGUUGUUCGGAUUUAUUGGGCGUAAAGGGCGCGUAGGCGGUCGUGUGCGUCGGAGGUGAAAUCCCCGGGCUUAACCCGGGAGCUGCCUCCGAUACGGCAUGGCUUGAGUCCGGGAGAGGGGAGCAGAAUUCCCAGUGUAGCGGUGAAAUGCGUAGAUAUUGGGAGGAAUACCGGUGGCGAAGGCGGCUCCCUGGACCGGUACUGACGCUGAGGCGCGAAAGCGUGGGUAGCAAACAGG
rnacentral:rRNA from 1 species